rnacentral:rRNA from 1 species
GUGUUACUGACGCUCAUGCUCGAAGGCGCGGGUAUCGAACAGGAUUAGAUACCCUGGUAGUCCGCGCGGUAAACGAUGGAUGCCCGCUGUCGGGGCGAUUAGCUCCGGCGGCCAAGCGAAAGCAUUAAGCAUCCCACCUGGGGAGUACGCCGGCAACGGUGAAACUCAAAGGAAUUGACGGGGGCCCGCACAAGCGGAGGAACAUGUGGUUUAAUUCGAUGAUACGCGAGGAACCUUACCCGGGCUUGAACUGCAGCGGACGGAUACAGAGAUGUUGACUCCCUUCGGGGCCGCUGUGGAGGUGCUGCAUGGUUGUCGUCAGCUCGUGCCGUGAGGUGUCGGCUUAAGUGCCAUAACGAGCGCAACCCCUCUCGCCAGUUGCCAUCGGGUUAUGCCGGGCACUCUGGGGACACUGCCACCGUAAGGUGUGAGGAAGGUGGGGAUGACGUCAAAUCAGCACGGCCCUUACGUCCGGGGCUACACACGUGUUACAAUGGGGGGCACAGCGCGCCAGCCGCCGGCAACGUCGGCUCAAUCGUGAAAUCCCCCCUCAGUUCGGACUGGGGUCUGCAACCCGACCCCACGAAGCUGGAUUCGCUA